UACAGAGGGGGCAAGCGUUGUUCGGAAUUACUGGGCGUAAAGGGCGCGUAGGCGGCCUGCUAAGUCGAACGUGAAAUCCCCGGGCUCAACCCGGGAACUGCGUCCGAUACUGGUGGGCUUGAAUCCGGGAGAGGGAUGUGGAAUUCCAGGUGUAGCGGUGAAAUGCGCAGAUAUCAGGAGGAACACCAAUGGCGAAGGCAGCACUCUGGGACGGUACUGACGCUGAGACGCGAAAGCGUGGGGAGCAAACAGG
rnacentral:rRNA from 1 species